rnacentral:rRNA from 1 species
UACGUAGGGGGCAAGCGUUGUCCGGAUUUAUUGGGCGUAAAGAGCGUGUAGGCGGCCGUGUAGGUCUGACGUGAAAUCUGGAGGCUCAACCUCCAGCUGUCGUUGGAAACCGCUCGGCUAGAGUCCGGAAGAGGAGAGUGGAAUUCCUGGUGUAGCGGUGAAAUGCGCAGAUAUCAGGAAGAACACCUAUGGCGAAGGCAGCACUCUGGGACGGUACUGACGCUGAGACGCGAAAGCGUGGGGAGCGAACAGG